GCCCCUGUAGCUCAGGCGGAACAGAGCGCGACGCUACGAACGUCGAGGUCCCAGGUUCGAGUCCUGGCAGGGGUA
rnacentral:tRNA from 1 species